GGAUGGACUACCUUAAGAUAAGUUAAGUGUGUAUAAAGGUCUGUGAUAGGAUGGACUACCUUAAGAUAAGAUAAGUGAGUAUAAAGGUCUGUGAUAGGAUGGACUACCUUAAGAUAAGAGUAUAAAGGUCUAGGAUAGGACGGACGACCUUAAGAUAAGAGUAUAAAGGUCUGUGAUAGGAUGGACGACCUUAAGAUAAGUUAAGUGUGUGGAACCACCAGACCAGAAUGUGAAAACUAAAAAGUUUAUUGAGCAGAAACAGUACUCAGAACAACAUUAUGCUGUAAUCAAAAAUAUCUCUGGAACAGUAGCAAGGUCAACGGGUCAGAGGUCAGCACCCCCCCCGAAACAAAACAAACGUAAAGAGUAGAAAGGAACAGCCAGCAGGGUUCGCUCUGCCAUGAUCACAUCUCAGUCUAUUAACUGUCUGGAGACACCUGGUACUAGAUAACAGUCUGGAAGAGGAGGACGAGAAGGGGUCUGUAGAGGAGGGGGGGGGGUUAUAGGUGUCUGUAGUAGAGGAGGAGGGGUUAUAGGUGUCUGUAGUAGAGGAGGGGGGGUUAUAGGUGUCUGUAGUAGAGGAGGAGGGGUUAUAGGUGUCUGUAGUAGAGGAGGGGGGUUAUAGGUGUCUGUAGUAGAGGAGGGGGGGGGGUUAUAGGUGUCUGUAGUAGAGGAGGAGGGGUUAUAGGUGUCUGUAGUAGAGGAGGAGGGGUUAUAGGUGUCUGUAGUAGAGGAGGGGGGGUUAUAGGUGUCUGUAGUAGAGGAGGAGGAGGGGUUAUAGGUGUCUGUAGUAGAGGAGGAGGAGGGUUAUAGGUGUCUGUAGUAGAGGAGGGUUAUAGGUGUCUGUAGUAGAGGAGGGGGGGGUUAUAGGUGUCUGUAGUAGAGGAGGAGGGUUAUAGGUGUCUGUAGUAGAGGAGGAGGAGGGGUUAUAGGUGUCUAGUAGAGGAGGGGGGUUAUAGGUGUCUGUAGUAGAGGAGGAGGAGGGUUAUAGGUGUCUGUAGUAGAGGAGGAGGAGGGUUAUAGG
rnacentral:lncRNA from 1 species